ACGGGUGAGUAACGCGUAUCCAACCUGCCGUCUACUCUUGGACAGCCUUCUGAAAGGAAGAUUAAUACAAGAUGGCAUCAUGAGUCCGCAUGUUCACAUGAUUAAAGGUAUUCCGGUAGACGAUGGGGAUGCGUUCCAUUAGAUAGUAGGCGGGGUAACGGCCCACCUAGUCUUCGAUGGAUAGGGGUUCUGAGAGGAAGGUCCCCCACAUUGGAACUGAGACACGGUCCAA
rnacentral:rRNA from 1 species